UACGGCCAUAGCAUGUUGAAACACCAGUUCUUGUCCUACUACUGAAGUUAAGCAACUUUGAGCCUGAUCAGUACUCAGAUUGGUGACUGCUGAGGAAUAUCAGGUGAUGUAAU